rnacentral:rRNA from 1 species
AUACAGAGGUGGCAAGCGUUGUUCGGAUUCAUUGGGUGUAAAGGGCAGGUAGGCGGCCAAGUAAGUCCGUUGUGAAAUCCCAGGGCUCAACCCUGGAACUGCGAUGGAAACUAUUUGGCUUAAGUUCCGGAGAGGUAAGGGGAAUUCUCGGUGUAAGGGUGAAAUCUGUAGAUAUCGAGAGGAACACCAGUGGCGAAGGCGCCUUACUGGCCGGAAACAGACGCUGAACUGCGAAAGCUAGGGGAGCAAACAGGAUUAGAUACCCCAGUAGUCC